CUGGGGGGACCUGAUCAGCGACGCCGCGUGGGUGAAGAAGGCCUGCGGGUUGUAAAGCCCUUUCAGUGGGGAAGAAAAGCCUCGAGUUAACACCUCGGGGUCUUGACGUAACCCAUAGAAGAAGCACCGGCUAACUCUGUGCCAGCAGCCGCGGUAAUACAGAGGGUGCGAGCGUUAAUCGGAAUUACUGGGCGUAAAGCGCGCGUAGGCGGCUUUGCAAGUCGGGUGUGAAAUCCCCAGGCUUAACCUGGGAACUGCAUUCGAGACUGCGUUGCUAGAGUAUGGGAGAGGGAAGUGGAAUUUCCGGUGUAGCGGUGAAAUGCGUAGAUAUCGGAAGGAACAUCAGUGGCGAAAGCGACUUCCUGGACCAAUACUGACGCUCAUGUGCGAAAGCGUGGGGAGCAAACAGGAUUAGAUACCCUGGUAGUCCACGCCAUAAACGAUGACAACUGGAUGUCGGGAGGGUCUGCCUCUCGGUGUCGUAGCUAACGCGUUAAGUUGUCCGCCUGGGGAGUACGG
rnacentral:rRNA from 1 species